rnacentral:rRNA from 1 species
UGAGAUGCGCAGCUAACACAUGCAGUCGCAGCGGAUGAAGGAGCUUGCUCCUGGAUCAGCGGCGGACGGGUGAGUAUGCCUAGGAAUCUGCCUGGUAGUGGGGGAUAACGUCCGGAAACGGGCGCUAAUACCGCAUACGUCCUGAGGGAGAAAGUGGGGGAUCUUCGGACCUCACGCUAUCAGAUGAGCCUAGGUCGGAUUAGCUAGUUGGUGGGGUAAAGGCCUACCAAGGCGACGAUCCGUAACUGGUCUGAGAGGAUGAUCAGUCACACUGGAACUGAGACACGGUCCAGACUCCUACGGGAGGCAUCAGUGGGGAAUAUUUUUACAAUGAGCAAAAGCCUGAUGCAGAGCAUACAUAGAAGAGUUAAAGUCAGGACUUCGGAAAUUUAUUAAUACCUUUUUUGGUUUUAUGCAGACCCGCUUCUAUCACUUUACUUCCCCUUCCCAUGAUGAGUGUGUGGCAAUGCGACGUGGAUGCGUGAUCACAAGUACUCAGUGCAUAUGCGAGAGGUUUUGUGGCGUCAUAGGAUAUGUAGAAGUACUACACGAGUUGUGCGUAGUGCUAUAGACAUCUUCUUCAUUAAUCUAAAAUAAUUAUAAUGAUUAUCUGCAUAUACUAAUGCUUCGUGAUGAUUUAUGUGCAGUUAACUCCUAUAUUCAGAGUCCGUAUUAUGACACAUUAGAGAGUACAUAUGAUAUCGAUCAGCAUCGACUCAUAGCUCUAUCAUUAUCUCCUAUAGACUAGAUAUAAGCUUCACUAAUCAGCACCCGUGUACUCUAUAUAUGUCUCUCUAUCAUGAAGUGCUAUGUUCUACCAUCGAUGUCCAUCAGUCAUUUUGCAUUACAUAUGCAUCGUUCUCUACAGUGAUAUAGUCGCAUCUUAUGAUUUUGCCGUUUCGCGAUAGCAUGCAUAGAGAGUUCUCGAGUUGAAUGCAGUAGCUUCUGCUCUGAUGUCGACUGAAUAGUGCAUGUAUCUGUGAGUGACUCUGCGAGUAUGCAUAUCUUAUGCCUUCUAACGACUGCCAUGACAUGAGUGGUCGCUAUGACUAGCGUUAUGAUCUUGAUAGCCUCGUGAUAUAUGUCCGACGACGUAGAUAGAUAUUAUAGAUAGGUAUAUAGUUCACAUAUGAUAUCUUUAGAGGUGUAAUUUGAGUGAAACUUAUUGUCCCCCGCAAGGGAAACUGCUACCUGAUACCCAGGAAAAACUUCUAAUGUAUGUUUCCUACACAUCUAACGGGACUUCGGGCGCGGCACUCGAUUAAACACUUCAGGGCAAUGUUCGCGUGGGUAGCAGAAAACAAUGGUCGUGGAGCCCUCCCGUGAGAUUCCUCAGUCGGCCACUGUUUGGCCUCCUUCCACCCCUACUGCAGUUCAGUAGUACCGGGAAUGCCGGUCCCGAUGUGUGCACGAUGUUACCAGCCAUGUUUCCCAACGGUUCGGCGCUCCACCUCGAUUAGGGUAUUUUGGCUAGCAUCAGGCCUAGCGUCAGACGUUGAGCUGACGCACUU